rnacentral:rRNA from 1 species
AGCGAACGCUGGCGGCAGGCUUAACACAUGCAAGUCGAGCGGGCACUUCGGUGUCAGCGGCAGGCGGGUGAGUAACACGUGGGAACGUACCCUUUGGUUCGGAAUAACGCUGGGAAACUAGCGCUAAUACCGGAUACGCCCUUUUGGGGAAAGGCUUGCUGCCGAAGGAUCGGCCCGCGUCUGAUUAGCUAGUUGGUGGGGUAAUGGCCUACCAAGGUGACGAUCAGUAGCUGGUCUGAGAGGAUGAUCAGCCACACUGGGACUGAGACACGGCCCAGACUCCUACGGGAGGCAGCAGUGGGGAAUAUUGGACAAUAGGCGCAAGCCUGAUCCAGCCAUGCCGCGUGAGUGAUGAAGGCCUUAGGGUUGUAAAGCUCUUUUGUCCGGGACGAUAAUGACGGUACCGGAAGAAUAAGCCCCGGCUAACUUCGUG